ACAUAAACACACACAGACUAAAGGGUCUAGUGAAAGGCAGUACAUAAACACACACAGACUAAAGGGUCUAGUGAAAGGCAGUACAUGGGCAGUACAUAAACACACACAGACUAAAGGGUCUAGUGAAAGGCAGUACAUGGGCAGUACAUAAACACACACAGACUAAAGGGUCUAGUGAAAGGCAGUACAUAAACACACACAGACUAAAGGGUCUAGUGAAAGGCAGUACAUAAACACACACAGACUAAAGGGUCUAGUGAAAGGCAGUACAUAAACACACACAGACUAAAGGGUCUAGUGAAAGGCAGUACAUAAACACACACAGACUAAAGGGUCUAGUGAAAGGCAGUACAUAAACACACACAGACUAAAGGGUCUAGUGAAAGGC